rnacentral:lncRNA from 1 species
AUGGAAUGCUCUGUAUUAUCUGCUCAAUGUUUUUGUAAAUCUAAAGCUGUACUAAAAAAAAAAAAAAGGCUAUUAACUAUUUUUGGAAAAGCAGAAAUAAAAGUAAACCCCAGUCUUAGCGGACGGGCCCCCGGAGAGCAGGCGGCAGGCCCCGUCGGUUCUCGAGCCCGCGCCGCGGAAAGGAAGCGGGCCUCCAGCGCACAGUGCGCAUGGCCCCGUUUCCCUCAGACUCCGGGAAGACACACCGGUCCCCUCGUGAGGCGACGUGGAUUGGGGGUGUCUGGGGCGGCGGUAAAGCGGAUCCGCACAGAGUCAGCAUCUGUCCUCGACAGCGCAGCGGACGGCACAUCUCCGCCCCAUCUGCAGGGACCCGCAUCUGUCCCCAACCCCACAGUCACCAGCGUCUGUGUGACCUCCCGGGGUGGCCUGUGCACACACAGCAGAGACGGACAAGCAGGAGUGCGAGCGCGCUCCCCACAGCCCCGACCAGGCCCCCUCGUCCCUGGCCCCCGCCCAGCGUCCUCCCUGAGCCACAGCACAAACGUCCUUGGCCGCCCCCCUGGGCUGGGUGCCGGGGAAGCAUCAGGCCAAGCCCAGCAAGGGACGCCCUGCAGACCCCUGGCCAGGGCCCCUAGACACCGUCCAGCCAGAGGGGCCGCAGGAGGCAGGACGACGACGGUAACGGGGUGUCCCGGACGGGGCCCCAGAGGGAAGAAGGCCAUUGGGAGGGAACUAGGAAAUCUGGAUAAAGUGCGGACUUCAGGUCUCAGUAACGUGUCCACACUGUGUGCUAAUUGGGGCCCAUGCACCACCAUGCAAGACGUUCCUGGGGGACCCCGGGUGUGGGUGUGGGGGCUCUGCGCUCGCUUCACGGUUUGUCUGUGAAUCUAAAAGUGUUCUACAAAAUAGCUUAUUUUUUUAAAGGACGUAUUUUUAAAAUAUCCCCUGAGCUGUACACCAAAGGCCACUGUCCCUCACUCUCUUUACCACUUGAUUAUUGUCCCUCAGUUUAAAAAUACAAGACAGGGACCUAGCCCCGUGGCCGAGUGGUUAAGCUCACCUGCUCUGCUUCGGUGGCCCGGGUUCGCGGGUUUGGAUCCUGGGUGUGGACCUACUCCACUCGUCAGCCAUGCUGUGGAGGUGUCCCAUGUACAAAGUAGAGGAAGAUGGGCACAGAUGUUAGCUCAGGGACAAUCGUCUUCAUCAAAAAAAAGCUAAAACAGAACUGACACAGGGAACUUGGAUCUUAGAGGCUGCUCCAUUCCGGGAGCGUGGGACAGCCUCCCUCUUGUUCAUGGCCGCGUGGUGUUCCAUCAGCUGGGUGCUCCCUAACAGGCGUACUGGCUCCCCUGAUCACAGCACCCAGCUCGUUUGCAGGCUUCUGCGCCCCGGGCCAGCAUCUCCACAAGACUGUUUCCCAGAGGUGGAACGGUUGCUUCAAGGAGCUCCUGCAGGAGGAGUUUGGGCUUUGACGUGUGGACGACAACUUCUUCCCAAAGGGGAUGGGAGGGAAUGGCACAGGGUUGGGAGGGAGGAAGGGGGCCUAGCUAUCUUAUCAAGAGUGGUCAGGGAAGGCCUCUCUGAGGAAGUGACAUUUGAGCAAAGACAUGAGCAGAGAGCUGGAGCCGUGGAAAUGUGUGGGGAAGAGGGUUCCAGGCAGAGGAAACAGCAUGUGCAAAGGCCCUGAGGUUGGAUCAUUUCAGUGAGGAGGCAAUGGGUGGGAGCAAAGUGGGUGAGGGGAGAUCCUGGGGACUGGAAGGGGCUAGAUCAUGGGGGCCUGACUCCGCCACUGAAAGGAACUGGGAUUGUUCUGUAAGCAGGACGGGAACUCUCCAGGGAUGGCGGCGGGCCUGACACAGGGAUUAAAGGAAGCCUCUGGGUGCUGGGAUGAGGGGCAGAGUGGCCAUCAGGAGACCAGCGGGAGGCUACUGCAACAGUCCGGGCAGAGCAGAUGGUGGCUGGACCAGGGGUCCCCUGCAGUGGGGCAGGGGCAGAUCUGGGGUGUACUUUGAGGAGCGCCUACGGCACUUGCUGAAGUCAAGGUCACCAGGCCGGGGUGUGGCAGAGGGCCUUAGUCUCCUGGGGCUGCCGCAGCGAAGGACCACAGACGGGCGGCUUAGAACAGCAGAAAAGUCUUCCCUCCCGUUCAGGAGGCAGGAAGUCCGAAGCCAGGGUGUCGGCGGGCCGUGCUCCCUCUGGCGCUUCUGAGGGCGGGUCCUGCCUGCCUCUCCCGGCUCCUGGCGCACGCAGGCCACCUUCGGCGGCCCUUGGCUUGUUGCAUCGCUCCAACCUCAGCCUCCGUCGUCACAUGACGUCAUCCCUGUGUGUCCCCGUGUCUUCCUUAUGGCAUCCUCCUCUCUUAUAAGGACACCCGUCAUACUGGAUUUAGGGCCCACCCUACUGCAGUAUGACCUCAUCUUAACUAAUUACAUCCGCAAUGAGCCUAUUUCCAAAUAAGGUCACAUUCUGAGACACUGGGAGUUGGGAUUUCAACAUGUCAUUUUGGGGAACACCCUUCAAGCCAGAACAGGGGGGAAUUGACAUUCCAGGCAGAGGGAGUGGCAAGUGCAAAGGCCCUGAGACAGGAGAGGGCUAUUGAUCUCAGACCUUUGUUUCCUGCAAACCUUGUUCAUGAAGGAAAGAUUGAGGCUGAAUUCUGAGGGGGAGGGGAAAGAAAAAGAAGCUUGGUGCCCCCUCCAGCCCAGACGACAGCCCUCCCCGAAAUGUGCCCGCUCUGCCCCAGACUCUGCCCCCACCGCUCUUCCCUCCCUCCUUCCCUCCUUCCGCUUCAGGCAGCCAGACCCCCUUAUCGCCCAUGCACACAGCUUCCUUUCCAGCCAAAGGUCGUUAUUUUAACACCUGUUGGAAAACAAGCGGGCGCGCUGUGGGGUGGGGCAGAGGGUGUACUGGGCGAUGCCGUCUGCAGGCUGACCCUCGGCUCCGCAGGCCGUCUGCCCACCUGCGUGUGGGGUGUGGGCGGGGGACCCCCGCGGCUGCCCGCCCAUGCGGCACUUGAGCGGGGCGGGCUGGGCUGGGGGUCCCCCUCUCCCCAUCGGUGGUCUCUCAGUUCCUCGGGCUUCGCUCCCGCCGUCGGGCCUGAGCCGCCCUGCCUGGCAGCAGCUGGAUCCCAGCACAUCUUAAGGCUUAGUGCGGAGCUGUCACGGAAUCCCCUCUGCCGCCUCCUAUUGGUUAGAGCAUCACAGAGCCCGCCUACUUCCGGGAGACCCCGCCUCCUGGUGGGCGGGGCUUCGGCAGGUGCCGGGACGGGACCUGGGCGCGUGGUCGGGUCUGCGGGACUGGCUGCCUGGCGAGGCCCCGAGGCCAGCAGGGCCCGCCCGUGAGACGCCAGCAAGAUGCGCGGGUCCGAGGGGCCUUGUUUUCUUAAAGGCAGCGAGGGGUGGGCUGUCCCACCGGAGGGCGAACCUCGGAGCCACGUGGCGCUGCGCACGCGGGGAGGCUGGCACAGCAGUGACAUGUCUGUGCGAAUAGACCGUCCCUGCCACUCGGGGCUGGGGGGAAACAACACCGGCUGGAGAUGCUCCCCUGAUCCGGCUCUGAACCCGGCCCGCCGGUGAAUCCACGGGCUUCCGGCUGCAGGGGGCACGUGUGUGCGUUGUGAGCGCUCUAAGUGACACUCCUGAGUGCCUCGGUGUCCUCCUCUAUAAAAUGGGGACAGGCAGAGUGCUCAGCUCGGGGUUACUGCGAGAAGUAAGGGAGGUAAUGCACACGAACCGACUAAAACAGUGCGAGGACCUGGAAAUGUAAGCUGUAAUUUUCAUCUGUUCAUUCAUUCAGCGAAUACUCAGAGGGCCCCAACCAGGGAGGACCUUUUGCCUAGUGUUGAGGACCCAAAGGUGGUGCUAGAGUCCUUGCACCAGGCACACAGGGGGCUCCUGGGAGUAGUUUCUGGAAGAAUGAGUGAAGGCGGUGCCAACUUUGCCCUGCAAAGCUCUGGCCUGGAGGGGACACAGACGGGUAAAUAAACCAUUGCAGCAACUGCA